AGAAACCAACUCUCAUUUCCAAGUUCCAACUCUCUACUCCAUCUCUCUACCAACAACAUCGCCUCCUCCUUCCACCACCACCAACACCGUCGUAACCUACUUCCACCACCACCACCGCCGCCGUAAACUCUCAUCCCCACAGCCGGAUCCGGAUCCAGAUCGGAAAUAAUUAGAAUUAAACAUCACUCUUCCUCUAUCUUUCCACCAGGUGGGUGGUGAUCGUUGAAGGUUGAUGAAGGAUGGUGGCAAGUGGUGGUCCGGUGGUAGUGGUGGUUGUUGGGAGCUACGGUGGUGGAGGGUCUAGCUGAAAACAUGAAUAAUCAAAGCCAAAGCCAAUUUCAGAUCUUGUUCAAGAAGGUGAAUAAGUAUGUUUUUUUCAGCUUUGUUUGGAAAUCUACACUUUGAAGAUGAUGUUUCAGAUGUUGAAGAUGAUGUUUCAGAUGUUGAAGAUGAUUCAAAAGAUGUUUGAUGUUGAACAUAGUUACGAAAUGUAACAAUCAAAGAAAAAAUGUCUGUUACAUUUUUUUGUGUUAGAAAUGUAACAAUCAAUCAAAGCAAAAAUGCCUGAGAUUUAUGUAGACUUUUGCUGUGUUGAAUCUGAGAAUUUUAUAUGUUAUGGAUUUUUUGGUUUUGUUUUUACCAUGUUACAUUUUAUUUUUGCCUCAGAUUUUUGUA